UACGUAGGGGGCAAGCGUUGUCCGGAAUCAUUGGGCGUAAAGCGCGUGUAGGCGGCUCGGUAAGUCUGCUGUGAAAGUCCAGGGCUCAACCCUGGGAUGCCGGUGGAUACUGUCGAGCUCGAGUCCGGAAGAGGCGAGUGGAAUUCCUGGUGUAGCGGUGAAAUGCGCAGAUAUCAAGGAGGAACACCAAUGGCGAAGGCAGCUCGCUGGGACGUGACUGACGCUGAGACGCGAAAGCGUGGGGAGCGAACAGG
rnacentral:rRNA from 1 species